CAACCUCAACUCAUAUGGGACUACCCCCUGAAUUUAAGCAUAUUAAUUAGGGGAGGAAAAGAAACUAACAAGGAUUUUCUUAGUAGCGGCGAGCGAAAAGAAAUCAGUUCAGCACUAAGUCACUUUGUCUAUAUGGCAAAUGUGAGAUGCAGUGUACGGAACAUCAACAUUCUAGUAUGAGAAGUUAACGAUUUAAGUCCUUCUUAAAUGAGGCCAUUUACCCAUAGAGGGUGCCAGGCCCGUAUAACGUUAAUGAUUACUAGAUGGUGUUUCCAAAGAGUCGUGUUGCUUGAUAGUGCAGCACUAAGUGGGUGGUAAACUCCAUCUAAAACUAAAUAUAACCAUGAGACCGAUAGUAAACAAGUACCGUGAGGGAAAGUUGAAAAGAACUCUGAAUAGAGAGUUAAAUAGUACGUGAAACUGCUUAGAGGUUAAGCCCGAUGAACCUGAAUAUCCGUUAUGGAAAAUUCAUCAUUAGAAUUGUAAUAUUUUAAACAAUAUUAUAAUAAUAGUGUGCAUUUUUUCCAUAUAAGGACAUUGUGUAUAUAUAGCAUAAAUAUGGUAUCUAAAAUGAGUGUGUGAUCGCUUAUUAUGGAUAGACGCUACGGCAUUAGAUCUUGACCCCGAGGCUAUCCCUUACCAGCCGGAAGCUGGACAGCUGAGAUUACAGGGGCUUAAAAUCCGGAAUGACCAUUGGAACCAACAU
rnacentral:ncRNA from 1 species